rnacentral:rRNA from 2 species
UGCAGUCGAGCGAACAGAAGGGAGCUUGCUCCCGGAUGUUAGCGGCGGACGGGUGAGUAACACGUGGGUAACCUGCCUGUAAGACUGGGAUAACUCCGGGAAACCGGAGCUAAUACCGGAUAGUUCCUUGAACCGCAUGGUUCAAGGAUGAAAGACGGUUUCGGCUGUCACUUACAGAUGGACCCGCGGCGCAUUAGCUAGUUGGUGGGGUAAUGGCUCACCAAGGCGACGAUGCGUAGCCGACCUGAGAGGGUGAUCGGCCACACUGGGACUGAGACACGGCCCAGACUCCUACGGGAGGCAGCAGUAGGGAAUCUUCCGCAAUGGACGAAAGUCUGACGGAGCAACGCCGCGUGAGUGAUGAAGGUUUUCGGAUCGUAAAGCUCUGUUGUUAGGGAAGAACAAGUGCGAGAGUAACUGCUCGCACCUUGACGGUACCUAACCAGAAAGCCACGGCUAACUACGUGCCAGCAGCCGCGGUAAUACGUAGGUGGCAAGCGUUGUCCGGAAUUAUUGGGCGUAAAGGGCUCGCAGGCGGUUUCUUAAGUCUGAUGUGAAAGCCCCCGGCUCAACCGGGGAGGGUCAUUGGAAACUGGGAAACUUGAGUGCAGAAGAGGAGAGUGGAAUUCCACGUGUAGCGGUGAAAUGCGUAGAGAUGUGGAGGAACACCAGUGGCGAAGGCGACUCUCUGGUCUGUAACUGACGCUGAGGAGCGAAAGCGUGGGGAGCGAACAGGAUUAGAUACCCUGGUAGUCCACGCCGUAAACGAUGAGUGCUAAGUGUUAGGGGGUUUCCGCCCCUUAGUGCUGCAGCUAACGCAUUAAGCACUCCGCCUGGGGAGUACGGUCGCAAGACUGAAACUCAAAGGAAUUGACGGGGGCCCGCACAAGCGGUGGAGCAUGUGGUUUAAUUCGAAGCAACGCGAAGAACCUUACCAGGUCUUGACAUCCUCUGACAACCCUAGAGAUAGGGCUUUCCCUUCGGGGACAGAGUGACAGGUGGUGCAUGGUUGUCGUCAGCUCGUGUCGUGAGAUGUUGGGUUAAGUCCCGCAACGAGCGCAACCCUUGAUCUUAGUUGCCAGCAUUUAGUUGGGCACUCUAAGGUGACUGCCGGUGACAAACCGGAGGAAGGUGGGGAUGACGUCAAAUCAUCAUGCCCCUUAUGACCUGGGCUACACACGUGCUACAAUGGACAGAACAAAGGGCUGCGAGACCGCAAGGUUUAGCCAAUCCCAUAAAUCUGUUCUCAGUUCGGAUCGCAGUCUGCAACUCGACUGCGUGAAGCUGGAAUCGCUAGUAAUCGCGGAUCAGCAUGCUCGCG